UACGAAGGGUGCAAGCGUUACUCGGAAUUACUGGGCGUAAAGCGUGCGUAGGUGGUUCGUUAAGUCUGAUGUGAAAGCCCUGGGCUCAACCCGGAAAUGGCAUUCGAAACUACCUUGCUAGAGGGUUUGAGGGGGGACUGGAAUACUUGGUGUAGCAGUGAAAUGCGUAGAUAUCAAGUGGAACACCAGUGGCGAAGGCGAAUCCCUGGAAAAUACCUGACACUGAGGCACGAAAGCUAGGGGAGCAAACAGG
rnacentral:rRNA from 1 species